UACGGAGGAUCCGAGCGUUAUCCGGAUUUAUUGGGUUUAAAGGGAGCGUAGGCGGGAGGUCAAGUCAGCUGUGAAAUGUAUCUGCUUAACGGGUACACUGCAGUUGAAACUGGUUUUCUUGAGUGCGUAAGAGGCAGGCGGAAUUCGUUGUGUAGCGGUGAAAUGCUUAGAUAUGACGAGGAACUCCUAUUGCGAAGGCAGCUUGCUGGGUCGUUACUGACGCUGAUGCUCGAAGGUGCGGGGAUCAAACAGGAUUAGAUACCCCGGUA
rnacentral:rRNA from 1 species